UCUCCCGCUUUGGAAGUUCGCGCCGGGACCGGCCAACAAACCUUUUGUUAUCAAUGAUUGACCUCGGAUCAGGUAGGGAUACCCGCUGAACUUAAGCAUAUCA
rnacentral:rRNA from 1 species